GGGGGUGUCCUGGCUUCGACGGGGGUCGCGAAGUCGACUGGUGCAUGCCGAGGGGGCGACUUUCCUCGUUAAUCCAGUAGCAAAAUUUAGUUGCCAACGACGACAACUACGCUCUCGCCGCUUAAGGCGUAAGCCCUGAACCCACUUGUGCCCGUGCUCGUGGAUGUAAGGUCAUUAUCACGGAACAGCUUCCGGCGGCGACCCGCCAACUGGAAGUGAACUUAGCGGGUGUGUCAGACGGUGUGCCUCGCACGUUGUGUUGCCGGCUGACGAGAACGAACAACGAGCUAAGCAUGUAGUACCGGAGAUGUAGUGCUCUCGGACGGGGGUUCAACUCCCCCCACCUCCACCA
rfam:Gammaproteobacteria bacterium RIFCSPHIGHO2_12_FTLL_63_22 rifcsphigho2_12_scaffold_43, whole genome shotgun sequence.